CGAGUAAUCCAGACGAUCGCUGGAUUAACAAAAUGAUCCGGAGGAAAGUCCGAACACCACAGGGCAGGGUGCUCCAUAACAUGGAGUCGCGGUAACGUGAAGGAUAGUGCAACAGAAAGUAUACCGCCUCGCCUUCGGGCGGGGUAAGGGUGAAACGGUGCGGUAAGAGCGCACCAGUUCUCCGGGUGACCGGGGAUGCUUUGUAAACCCCACCUGGUGCAAGACCAAAUAGGGGGACGUUUGAGAACGGCCCGUUCAAGUUCCCGGGUAGGUCGCAAGAGGUGCCGGGCAACCGGCAUUCAUAGAUGAAUGAUCGUCAACCGGUCAAGGGGUAACUCUAACCGGAUACAGAAUUCGGCUUAUGGGUUGCUCGGACC
rnacentral:RNase_P_RNA from 1 species